rnacentral:lncRNA from 1 species
GCAGUCAUAAGGAAGUCUACCUUCUCGUCGAUGACUAGCUCGAUGCUGCAGCUGUGUGUUUAGUUCUUUGACCUGAGGUACAUCGACAGUUCACCUUGAGUGUGUUAUAGUUUGACUACACCAUAACUCGAUCUCCUAGCCAUUCAAAACCCUGAGGUGUAUGUUGGCUGUAGCAUAUUCAUUGUAGGAACCAAAUUGCAUCA